UACAAUGGCGUAAACAAAGGGAAGCGAGACGGUGACGUUAAGCAAAUCCCAGAAAUAACGUCCCAGUUCGGAUUGUAGUCUGCAACCCGACUACAUGAAGCUGGAAUCGCUAGUAAUCGCGAAUCAGAAUGUCGCGGUGAAUACGUUCCCGGGUCUUGUACACACCGCCCGUCACUCCAUGGGAGUCGGAAAUGCCCGAAGUCAGUGACCCAACCGUAAGGAGGGAGCUGCCGAAGGUGGAGCCGGUAACUGGGGUGAAGUCGUAACAAGGUAUC
rnacentral:rRNA from 1 species